AUAGAUUUCUUAAGAAGUGAGGGUUAAAUGAACACAUGUAAAGUCCUUAACAUGAGGUCUACCAUAUUUUUAAGUGCUCAGUAAAUUUAGCUAGCCCAAACUUGUCUCCUGAGUGCCUGACAUCUUCUGGUGAGUAGAAUAAGACUCCUUUCUCAGCUGGAGGUUGACGUGUCAGGUUGGAGAGCCCAGAGCCUGGGCUGCAAGGCAGAUAAGUUCACCUCUGGGUGCUGCUCCGUUUGUGAGCCAGCGUCUGGGGAGAAGAGGCCAUUUCUGGAGGCAUCUGGGGCAAAUGACACGAGACAGCAUUUACUUUCUUGCAUUACGAAGUGGAAGACUAAUGACCGAAGCUUUAAGAACUGGGCAAAUACGAAAACACAAAGUGGACCUGAUUUGGAAGAGGAGGAAGAUCAUAUCACAUCCCCUACAGAUACCAAGACAAAAGGGACGGAGGAAAUAAAUCAUUAAAAAAGAGAAAAUGAAGUUUUAAAAGUUCUCCCCAAAUGGCGAACCCUCUAGAGAUGGUGAAACUGAGGCCCUGGGAGAGCUUAAGUGACUUAAAUCCCCUCGGUGAUCAGCAUAGGAUGGAGUGUUUCCGUCUGCAGGGAGUCAUCGUCGCUGCCCUCUGGGGGCUUGGGGAGUUGGGGGGCGGGGAAGGCCACACAGGGCACACUGCCCUCAUUGUGAUUCUUACAUUUUUCUUAUUUCUAGAAGCUAUUUAAUGCACAUGGCACAAAACUUCAGAAGGUACAACUGGUAUAUGAGAGAGAAAGACCCAGCUGAGAACCAGAAGACAGAAGGGACCAGCAGUAUCCAGAGAGAGGGGACACGGGUUCAAGCCCUGGUCUGAGAAGAUCCCACAUGCCGCAGAGCAGCGAAGCCCGUGCGCCACAACUACUGAGCCCGCGCUCCACAACUACUGAAACCUGUGCGCCUAGAGGCCGUGCUCCGCAACAAGAGAGGCCACCGCAAUGAGAAUCCUGCACACCACAACGAAGAGUAGCCCCUGCUCGCCGCAGCUAGAGAAAGCCCGUGCACAGCAAAAAAGACCCAAUGCAGCCAAAAGUAAAUAAAAAAUACAUAAGUAAAAAGAAGAAAAUUAAAAAAAAAAGAACUUUGAGACUGGAUCAAAACUUCUCAUGAGCUGAAUUUAGUAACUGGACUCAAUUCUGCACUAAUUUGGUAUAUGCAAACUUCUGUGUUGUAGAGGAACAAGGCUAGAGUUGCUAGAGUUUGGGAGGUUACAGGCUGGCAAGAGCCCAGGUCGUGGUUUCACCAGGAUGGAUGGAAUGAGA